UACCCCAUGCUAGUACUGAGCAUGUCCGCCCCACACCACACCGGCACACCGACCCCGAUCGACCCCCACCCCACCAAACUCUCUCUCUCUCUCCUCUCAUCCAUAGCCGCCGCCCCGCUCAUCCGCCCGGCGAUCCCACCGGCCGGCGCCCUCCACCCCCAUCCCCUCCACCUUCCCCCACCUUCUAUCCAUCUAUAUGCCCCUAGACUAGAUCGAGCAGGCGGGCGCUGUCAGAUCGGGAUCGGUCAUGCCCACGGCGGGGCAUCUGGAUCCGCGCCGCCGUCGAUCCAGGACGUGACGUUCGGCUCCUUCUCCAAAUCCACGCCAAGGGUGACGAGGAGUGAGGGGGCUUCCUCCCAGCUCUCUCUCCCGGGAUGCCGCCAUCCAUGCCAUCAAGCUCUGACCCCGCCGCCGCCGACAUCUUCGACCCAUAACGAGCAGCUUAGUCAAGACAGAUGUGCGGCAGGGGAGAAAAGGAAGAUUGGGAUGCCGGCAUCAUCUCUAGACACCGCCGCGCUUCUGCUACUGCUGCAACCCUAGCUAGCACCGACGACGCCAUGGAGCAAGUAAAGGCUUGGUUCCCUGAUGAUACGGUUUCCUCAUGCAAACAUGUGCAGUUUUGCCCGUGGAUUCUUCAUCCCCUCUGUGCAUCAUCUCUGGACACCACUCUUCCGCUGCUGCAACCCCAGCUAGCACCGAUGACGCCAUGCAUGCAGCAAGUCAAGAUGCGUGGGGAGAGAGCGCAGAAUGGGAUCCGGCAUCAUCUUGGAACGCCGCUCUUCUGCUGCUGCGACCCUACCACCGACGACGCCAUGGAGCAAGUCAAGAUGGGCGGGGCUGGCAAGGACGUCUUGGACCUACUCCUCUUCUGCGCCGCCGCUCGAGCGGCCUCGGCGGAGGCCCCCGCGCUGCACUAGGUCCCGGAGGGGCUCUCCAAGGCGCCGGCCGCCGCCAUGGAGGAGAUGGCGCACACAAUUUAGUAUUCUUAGACCUUGAGCAUAACAAUUCUGAAGCCACUCGUAAUAUCUAAUUUCAACUCCGAAGUAGAUGUUUCUUGUUGGUUUUUGCUCUGUUUAUUUUUAUCAUCCUGAAUUUCUGAACUGCAGGGGCUGACUUGGAAGGCAGCUUUUGUUAUCACCCUGAAUUUCAUAUUUGAUGCCAGGCAGCAGCAUCCCUCCCCCCACAAUGCUUUAGUUUGCUAUUACAUGGUUGCCUGUUUGAGCGGCAGUUUUUGUGUGCAUUGGUAGACUGUAUGACACUGUGUCCUUGUUUUUAUCACUUCACUCUAGUUUGUCUUCAACAAGUUCCACUCUGUUUAGAGAAGAUGCACUCUCUGUUUAGUUUUUAGCUAACCCAAUUUGCAAGUUUGUAUAGUCGCUAGGCUCUUCCAACAGUAGAUUCAUGGACUUUGUUAUGUUUGAAAAUGUGAAAGAUAUCAAGGUAUUGAAGUGACUACUUAGAAAAAUGGAUAGAUAGAAUAUUACCAGAAGAAUUAUGCCUCUAACUCCUUAUGUGGUUCGUAGGUGCUGUUUCUUUUUAGAACUUCCAACACAAUAGAAUUGCUUCUAAUCUUUUGCGUUAUCUUUUGUCAUGGAAGUAUCUAUGUGUUGCUUCACUGUGUAGUUCAGUUGUGCAUUACGUCUUAAAUAAGAAUCUUGGGAAAAUUUGUAGCACAUUUGCACUGACAUGUACUGCAUUGUUUUCCGUGUCAUUCUUUUGAAGAAUCUGAAGUUUCUGAACCUCUGUUGGUAAUGCUGCAGGGUUCGACGCUGACGGACGUCGAGAGGUUCAUGGACUUGACGGUUGCGUUGCUGCCGAUGUACGGAGAGGCGAAGCUACUGCUCGUCCUCUACCUCUGGCACCCCAGCACACGGGGUGCGGGGCACGUGUACGAUGGCUUCCUCUGUCCAGUGGUGGUGACAACAUCGAGUGAUGCCUGUUGGAGCUGAGGGCCAGGGUGUGGGAGGUGACGGUGUCGCAACUCAAGGCGGUGGCUGCCGUUGGCCGGGUGUGGCUUGUCGAGGCUUCCCGGUGUGUUUUGUCGCAGGCGCCGCACAACAACUAACAAGUCUCGGUCUCAGGCAUCUAGAAGUAGUAGUAAAAUUCCAAAUUUGCAUGGCAAGAACCACUUACGUAGGUAGCUUCCUACCAAGUUGCCAUGGACAACACUGUGUCGCUACAAUGAGGAACUCUGUGAUAGUAAUUAUACAUGAGUUGUCGCUACAAUGAGGAACUCUGUGAUAGUAGAUACGGCAGUUGUGUGAUAGAAUGGAAUUGGUUGAUUUUAUUUUA